rnacentral:lncRNA from 1 species
AACUGCGCUGUGCGGGCUCAUGGCUUCCGCCUUUUUCUUGAGGACUGGCUAAACACUGGCGUUGCUCUAUGCGAUCAGUGCAGAGCCGAAAACAAAUACGACCUUCUGCCUUGGAGCUCCCGUGAUGGCAGAGUCACUUGUUGAAGUAUCUGCAGUGAGUUAAGACUUCAGCUGAGCACUGGAGAGUUCGGGACAAAUCAAAGAAGGCUCCUGCCUCCUGAGGCGCACACACAGAAGCAGGAACGAAAACUCAAGAAAAGGCACACGGCUUCUACUGAUGUUCGAAGGAGAGAGGGAGCUUGCGUAUUUACUCGCUACCUUUGCGUUUCCUGUACCAAAUACCAAGUCGGUGCAAGACAAAUGUCGAUCUGAACUUGGCUUGCUUAUUUACUUAAGUCUCCGUCUCAGUGGCUACUGUUGAAAGCUUCCCCCAAGAUGUCUUCUAGUUACCUGUGCCCAUGUUUCUUAGAUCUCGGUUUCAAACAUACAGUGAUGUUUGCUGAGUGAGUCAGAGUGAUAAAAAUGAUAAUAAGGAUGGAGUAAGGAAACUGUUCCCUUUGAAAGUACUCGAUCCUUCAUCACUUCUCUCGAGGUCCGAGUUCAAGUCUUUUCACCAGGACUAGCAUAACUGUUCUUAAAUGUAAGGUUAUGAGGUUGUUGAUCCAGCAUGGGCCAGAGAGUAUCUUAUAAAACAUUGACUCCUGAAAGAAAUGCUAACCUGUUGUUCCCCUUGGAAAGAGAGAGGGGGAAUUUCCCAUAGUCAAAUCAGGUUAGGAGAAUCAACCUGAUUCCUUCAUGUGGUCCAUUUCAGAAAGACUCUCAUAUUACUGUACAUUUUAAAAUGUGGUACAUUAUCUAUGCUCCACUAGAAAGAGGAAAGAAUACUGCCAAACUAUCAUAUGUCCUUAUCACAAUGUUUGUCUUAAAGAUUUAUUUAUUUUUAUUUCAUGGAUAGCAGUGUUUUGCCUGAAAGUAGGUGUAGCAUGCAUGUAGUACCAGCAGAGGCCAGAAGAGGGCACUGGAUCCCCUGGAACUGGAGUUAGCAGAAAGUUGGGAUCUGCCACGAGGAUGCUGGGACUCUGACCCAGGUCCUCUGCAAGAGCAGCCAGUGCUCUUAACAGCCGAGCCCCCUCACCAACCCCCAUCACUUUGGUUUUUUUUUAAGCUGAAUCCUCAUUAUGAAAAUAGUAGAGUGGAAAAAGCUGAGUAUUCAAAUUUAUGAAGACAGUAAUAUAUCGUAGCAUCAACUGAUAAUUUACAGGGUAAAUAACAGAACUAAUAUUCCUCAUCUUAUAAACUGAAAACUGACAAGCUUCUAGACUAAAACCCCUAAGAAGCAGUUAAUGCCUGAAGAAGUUACCUGGUGUGCUCACACGCCUAUGUGACAGGAGCCCGGACCUGGAGGUUGUACCCAGCCGUUGACUACGCUCUCCUCAGCGCAUGCUCUGUGGUACCUUACUAUGCCCCACUACUGCUAACUCACAUUCCCCAAGCACACGGUCAUCUCCUGCCAGCUCCACGCCCCGCUAGGUACAGCUACCUCGUCCUUGACACCCUUUCCUGUCCUCUGUGAAAUCUGGUCCCAGGAAGCCAUCCUGCCGUAUGGUGCAGAAAGCAGCAAAACAUUUCUUACCCUUCUCCUGCCUCUAUAGUUAAACGACAAGGGAGUGUCUAUGAGGACUCACAAGAGCAUCAGUAAAGUACUUCCUUCCAGCGGCCAUCUUCCUGAGGCACUGUUCUGAGGCCUAAGGGGUGUUUGUUUGUUUUGUUUUGUUUUUCUUUUUUUCUGUUUUUCUUUUUUCGAGACAGGGUUUCUCUGUGUAGCCCUGGCUGUCCUGGAACUCACUCUGUAGACCAGGCUGGCCUCGAACUCAGAAAUCCGCCUGCCUCUGCCUCCCAAGUGCUGGGAUUAAAGGCGGGCGCCACCACUGCUUGUUCACCGACAUUCACCCGGUCCACAGACAUGCAUCGGGUGCCCGUGAUGUGACAGACGUGGUUCUGGUGUGAAUGGAGCAGUGAAUCAACCAGUCAAAAAUCUCAGCCUUUCUGGUACUUUACAGGAUCCAAGCAUUUCCUGUAACAAGAAAUACUUUGCCUGGCCACCCCAUCGUCCUCUCCGGGUUUUAGCCGGCUGCUCCCUGGUUUCUUUUCUCCGCUUUCUUCUCUUGGAUAGCAAGAAGUGGAGGUUCUAUUUUACAAGGUUUGGGAAAUUUUCGGCUAAUGUAACACUUGAGAAUUCUGUCUAAUUGUAAAAGUAAUAAUAAUAAUAAUAAUAAAUGUUAUAUAACUCUUAGUUUACAGUUGAAGACAUGGAAUAAAAGGUAGAAAAGGAUGCUUCCGGGGCCCCACAGCAAACUGGUAAUAAAAACAAACCAGUAAGGAAUAUAUAAUUUGUUUCUUCAUCAAUGCCAAAACUAUAGUAAAAGGCUCUGAAACUUGAGGUUAAGUUAUAUAAAAUCACAUGGGUGAUAUUAAAAUAUUAAUCAAGUGGAAUGAGUCAUCCUGAGAUAAUAUGUAUUCUGGCAGUAAAAUCUUAUAAAAUUACAACUGUAAAGAUAUUUACAAUGGUAGAUUUUCCUGGCUUGCCUAAAAUUCAAAUAAUCUAUUGAUUUAAAAUAAUAUCCCGUUCUCUGUAAUCGCGUGGCUGAAUAUAAGCAUCAUAAAGUAGUGUUGAAGGGAGAAGUAUUUAUCAUAAAAGUUAAUAUGUGUAACUGUGCAAGUAUAUAAUUUAUUAAUCCACUGUGUACCUAGUAAAUACUUUUGAAGCAUUUUUAGAUAAGUGAUACUUGUGUGGGCGUAUUAAAUACAGAUAAAGGGGGAAAUUAAGGCAUUUCUAACAGAUGUUAAGCUUUCCCAUAAAUAGUUGCUUUCAAAUGUGAAGGCACAAAAUAUCUACAUUUGCUUAUUUAUCAUUUUGUCACUCUGUCUCAAUAACCUAGCUUAAAUAACUUUAAAUUAAAAUGUAUCCAGCAA